GACGAACGCUGGCGGCGUGCUUAACACAUGCAAGUCGAACGGAAAGGCCUCUUUCGGGGGGUACUCGAGUGGCGAACGGGUGAGUAACACGUGAGUAACCUGCCCUUGACUUUGGGAUAACUUCAGGAAACUGGGGCUAAUACCGGAUAGGAGCUCCUGCUGCAUGGUGGGGGUUGGAAAGUUUCGGCGGUUGGGGAUGGACUCGCGGCUUAUCAGCUUGUUUGUGGGGUAGUGGCUUACCAAGGCUUUGACGGGUAGCCGGCCUGAGAGGGUGACCGGCCACAUUGGGACUGAGAUACGGCCCAGACUCCUACGGGAGGCAGCAGUGGGGAAUAUUGCACAAUGGGUGGAAGCCUGAUGCAGCAACGCCGUGUGCGGGAUGACGGCCUUCGGGUUGUAAACCGCUUUCGCUCAUGACGAAGCUUUGUGUGACGGUAGUGGGUAAAGAAGCACCGGCUAACUACGUG
rnacentral:rRNA from 1 species